UGCCCUUGUCAUGGCCGUCAUUUUUACCCUGCUGACGUAAUUAAGAGACGAUUAAUUUUACGUCAUUUUAUUGUUUUCAUUGUGAUGUGACUCGUGCAAAAACAACUAUUAAUUAACAGAAUUCUCAUUCACUUCAUAAAAGAUAUUUUUAUGAUUAUUAUUGUUUUCUGUUUACAUGCUUAUUUCUACUGAGUGAACUCUUACAUUA
rnacentral:lncRNA from 1 species